rnacentral:rRNA from 1 species
GGAGGAAAAGAAACCAACAGGGAUUGCCUUAGUAGCGGCGAGUGAAGCGGCAAAAGCUCAAAUUUGAAAUCUGGCUCUUUCAGAGUCCGAGUUGUAAUUUGAAGAAGGUAUCUUUGGGUCUGGCUCUUGUCUAUGUUUCUUGGAACAGAACGUCACAGAGGGUGAGAAUCCCGUGCGAUGAGAUGAUCCAGGCCUAUGUAAAGUUCCUUCGAAGAGUCGAGUUGUUUGGGAAUGCAGCUCUAAGUGGGUGGUAAAUUCCAUCUAAAGCUAAAUAUUGGCGAGAGACCGAUAGCGAACAAGUACAGUGAUGGAAAGAUGAAAAGAACUUUGAAAAGAGAGUGAAAAAGUACGUGAAAUUGUUGAAAGGGAAGGGCUUGAGAUCAGACUUGGUAUUUUGUAUGUUACUUCUUCGGGGGUGGCCUCUACAGUUUAUCGGGCCAGCAUCAGUUUGGGCGGUAGGAGAAUUGCGUUGGAAUGUGGCACGGCUUCGGUUGUGUGUUAUAGCCUUCGUCGAUACUGCCAGCCUAGACUGAGGACUGCGGUUUAUACCUAGGAUGUUGGCAUAAUGAUCUUAAGUCGCC